rnacentral:rRNA from 1 species
GACGAACGCUGGCGGCGUGCUUAACACAUGCAAGUCGAACGGAAAGGCCCUGCUUUUGUGGGGUGCUCGAGUGGCGAACGGGUGAGUAACACGUGAGUAACCUGCCCUUAACUUUGGGAUAACUUCAGGAAACUGGGGCUAAUACCGGAUAGGAGCUCCUGCUGCAUGGUGGGGGUUGGAAAGUUUCGGCGGUUGGGGAUGGACUCGCGGCUUAUCAGCUUGUUGGUGGGGUAGUGGCUUACCAAGGCUUUGACGGGUAGCCGGCCUGAGAGGGUGACCGGCCACAUUGGGACUGAGAUACGGCCCAGACUCCUACGGGAGGCAGCAGUGGGGAAUAUUGCACAAUGGGCGGAAGCCUGAUGCAGCAACGCCGCGUGCGGGAUGACGGCCUUCGGGUUGUAAACCGCUUUCGCCUGUGACGAAGCGUGAGUGACGGUAAUGGGUAAAGAAGCACCGGCUAACUACGUG